rnacentral:rRNA from 1 species
GACGAACGCUGGCGGCGUGCUUAACACAUGCAAGUGGAGCGACGAACCGGGGCUUGCCCCGGGGCAGAGCCGCGAACGGGUGAGUAACACGUGGGUAACCCACCCCGAUGACCGGGACAACCCGAGGAAACUCGGGCUAAUACCGGAUGUGCUCCUUGACCUCGAGGUCAAGGCGUAAAGAUAGCUUCGGCCUUCGCAUCGGGACGGGCCCGCGGCCCAUUAGCUUGUUGGUGGGGUAAAGGCCUACCAAGGCGACGAUGGGUAGCUGGUC